CAGCAGCCGCGGGAACACGGAGGGUGCAAGCGUUAAUCGGAAUUACUGGGCGUAAAGCGUGCGUAGGUGGUGGUUUAAGUCCGUUGUGAAAGCCCUGGGCUCAACCUGGGAAUUGCAGUGGAUACUGGGUCACUAGAGUGUGGUAGAGGAUAGUGGAAUUUCCGGUGUAGCAGUGAAAUGCGUAGAGAUCGGAAGGAACAUCUGUGGCGAAGGCGGCCAUCUGGGACAACACUGACGCUGAGGCACGAAAGCGUGGGGAGCAAACAGGAUUAGAUACCCGGGUAGUCCCUGUCUCUUAUAC
rnacentral:rRNA from 1 species